rnacentral:tRNA from 1 species
GACCCGAUAGCUCAGCUGGUUAGAGCAACGGACUUUUAAUCCGUAGGUCCUGGGUUCGACUCCCAGUCGGGUCA